rnacentral:rRNA from 1 species
CCUACGGGUGGCUGCAGUAGGGAAUCUUGCACAAUGGACGAAAGUCUGAUGCAGCGACGCCGCGUGAGUGAUGAAGGCCUUCGGGUUGUAAAGCUCUGUUGUCAGGGAAUAAAAAAAUUACGGUACCUGACGAGAAAGGACCUGCUCACUUCGUGCCAGCAGCCGCGGUAAGACGUGGGGUCCACGCGUUGUUCGGAAUUAUUGGGCGUAAAGCGGGCGUAGGUGGCUAUGUAAGUCAGGAGUGAAAGCCCUGGGCUCAACCCAGGAAGUGCUUUUGAUACUGCAUAGCUGGAAUGUGGGAGAGGAUAGUGGAAUUCCAGGUGUAGUGGUGAAAUACGUAGAUAUCUGGAGGAACACCGGUGGCGAAGGCGGCUAUCUGGCCCAACAUUGACACUGAGGCCCGAAAGCGUGGGGAUCAAACAGGAUUAGAUACCCCUGUAGUC